UACAGAGGUCUCAAGCGUUGUUCGGAAUCACUGGGCGUAAAGGGUGCGUAGGUGGUGGGGUAAGUCGGAUGUGAAAGCUCGGAGCUCAACUCCGAAAUGGCAUUGGAAACUACCCUGCUAGAGGAUUGGAGGGGGGACUGGAAUACUUGGUGUAGCAGUGAAAUGCGUAGAUAUCAAGUGGAACACCAGUGGCGAAGGCGAGUCCCUGGACAAUUCCUGACACUGAGGCACGAAAGCUAGGGGAGCAAACAGG
rnacentral:rRNA from 1 species